CCUUUACCUUAAAGCACGAAUGCACCCUGGCCAAGGAGACAAUGUGACACACAAAGGAGGUGACCCUGCAGUGCGACAGAUCUGAAUGCACGGAGUACAGAUGGAGCAUCUCGGAGGGAUGUGGUCUGAGGAAUCACAAGCAGAAAGACUCUGUGUGUGCAGCCACCCUACGGAUCCAAGGGAAACUGUGUGAGAUGGAUGGGGCUGGUGGUCCCAGGCAUAUCCACCUCCAGCGAAGUUGAUGCAAACUUGACGCCAACACCAAGCACUUCUAUCCAAACUUCAACGGAAACUCCAAGCCAAGCAGGUUGGAUGACAAGCACACCAACACCGACCUUGGGAAGAGCAACUGUGAAUGUGGGGAACCUUUCAACACAGAAAAGAACUGUGGAAAAAUGAAGAUAAGUAGCAUAAACUGGAUGCAUGGUGGCCUUUCUAUUGCUAAGAAUUUGUCUGCAUGAGGAUGCCCUGUAUGCAUGCUGGCAGCUCAGUGCAACUCAUUGAGGGGGGAUGCACCGCAGGACAUUUCCCCAUCCAAGUCUGUUCUGGAAGGGCAAUAUUUCACUGAGAGAGAGAACAUGCACUUUGCAAGUGCAAAGAGAAGCGUAAGACCCUCUUAAAUGUCUGGCCCCAGGCAAUCUGUUUCCUUUCACAGGGCUGCUCUUGAAGCAGGUCUGCAAAGACUUAUCGCUUCCAUCUGCGCCACAGAGACAAGGGCACCGUUCUCACCCCAGUUCCAUACAGACAUCCCAGAACUGCUGACAGCUGCCACAGCCCCAUAGCAGAAUAUUCCUGCAUGUCUCAGCAAGCUUCCCAAGCUGCACACAUGGGGAUGUGCAGACACACACACCCCCUGUGCAGGCGGCUCCUGGGUACCCAACCGUGUGUUCUCCUUGUUGGGAAAUGGAGAACCUUCCUCCAUUUCAGCAGCUCCUCUAUCAGAUGGCACCCCAAAAAAGAUAGCUGGGAGAUUCACCCAUAUUCAGUUCUGGGGCCCCCAAUGCAAGAAGGUCAUGGAACUGUUGGAGAGGACCCAGAGGAGGGCCACAAAGAUGAUCAAAGGGCUGGAGCACCUCCCCCAUGGGGACAGGCUAAGAGAGCUUGGGCUCUUCAGCCUGGAGAAGAGAAGAUUCCAGAGGGACCUUAUAGUGGCCUUCCAGAACCUCAAGAGGGCCUACAGGAAAGAUGGAAAGGGACUUUUAUAAGGGCAGAUAGUGACAGGAUGAGGGGAAACUGUUUUAAACUGGAAGUGGGUAUACUGAGGCUAGAUAUCAG